rnacentral:rRNA from 1 species
GAUGAACGCUAGCGACAGGCUUAACACAUGCAAGUCGAGGGGCAGCACGAUGUAGCAAUACAUUGGUGGCGACCGGCGCACGGGUGAGUAACGCGUAUGCAACCUACCUAUCAGAGGGGAAUAACCCGGCGAAAGUCGGACUAAUACCGCAUAAAACAGGGGUUCCACAUGGAAAUAUUUGUUAAAGAUUUAUCGCUGAGAGAUGGGCUCGCGGCCGAUUAGGUAGUUGGUGAGAUAACAGCCCACCAAGCCGACGAUCGGUAGCCGGACUGAGAGGUUGAUCGGCCACAUUGGGACUGAGACACGGCCCAG